CCAAGAUCGGAACAAAUACGUACAUGAAACAGGGGGUGCCUCUCCGCACGUCCGCUCACGCAGCGGCCGGCACGCUAAAGUCUUGUCCCACGUGCGAGCCCAACUCCAUCAGCUUCGCGCCCUCGCUCUCGCUCUGCGGCGGCUGCGCCUCCGCGCGCGCGUCCGCUCACGCAGCGGCCGGCACGCUAAAGUCUUGUCCCACGUGCGAGCCCAACUCCAUCAGCUUCGCGCCCUCGCUCUCGCUCUGCGGCGGCUGCGCCUCCACGCGCCGCGCGCGCGGAGGCGACGGCGUCGCACCUUGCUCCGGCACGCGCCAUACCUUCACCGAAUUAUCGAGGCUGCCGCUGUACACCACGUAGCGGGGACAACCGCAGGCCCCGCCGGCCUCGCCGUCUUCCUUCUCCACGACC
rnacentral:lncRNA from 1 species